AUUGAACGCUGGCGGCAUGCUUUACACAUGCAAGUCGAACGGUAACAGGGUGCUUGCACCGCUGACGAGUGGCGAACGGGUGAGUAAUGCGUCGGAACGUGCCGAGUAGUGGGGGAUAACGCAACGAAAGUUGUGCUAAUACCGCAUACGUACUGAGGUAGAAAGUGGGGGACCUUCGGGCCUCGCGCUAUCCGAGCGGCCGACGUCUGAUUAGCUAGUAGGUGAGGUAAAGGCUCACCUAGGCGACGAUCAGUAGCGGGUCUGAGAGGAUGAUCCGCCACACUGGGACUGAGACACGGCCCAGACUCCUACGGGAGGCAGCAGUGGGGAAUUUUGGACAAUGGGCGAAAGCCUGAUCCAGCCAUGCCGCGUGUCUGAAGAAGGCCUUCGGGUUGUAAAGGACUUUUGUCAGGGAGGAAAUCCCUAGUGCUAAUAACACUGGGGGAUGACAGUACCUGAAGAAUAAGCACCGGCUAACUACGUGCCAGCCGCCGCCGUAA
rnacentral:rRNA from 1 species